rnacentral:miRNA from 1 species
CAGUAGCACCUUAGAGACCAUCUAAGUUUGUUAUUGGUAUGAGCUUUCGUGAAGAAGUGUGCAUGCACACGAAAACUCAUACCAAUAACAAACUUAGUUGGUCUCUAAGGUGCUACUG